GCAUUCCUUUUCAGUUGUCUGCCAAGGCUUGUUUGUCUUGGUGGAYUGUGGGUUUCCUGUGUUGCCUACCUAAGCAAUGGUAUUGCCCUGGUUGAUCCUAGUCCCUUUUCUUCUAGUGUCAUACAUAUGACACUGGAUGAACCAUGAAGUGGUUUCUUUGAUCCACCUUGUCAAUGAAUGUGUUGAUUUUGUGGCUCUUUGAGCAUCGCUUGGUCUCCUAGAUACAGAACAUGAUGUGAGCAUGGUGUCUCAUGGGCCUUUGUUUCCAUUUCAUUCAGCUAGUUUGUUUCUCUUACAAUGACUGCCUCGCCCGCCUAGGCUCGUACCUGCGGGGUGGUAUGUCAUAGGGAAAUUCUCUUCCUGUUUGAUGUGGGUAUGAUGUCUUAGGUGAUCCCUCUUUUGCUCUCAUUUAGCGUUCGCGCUUCUCUUCAAAUGACGGCCUCUCCUGCCAGGGCUUGUACCAGCGUGGGAGGCCAUGUCAAAGAGGAAUGC
rnacentral:misc_RNA from 1 species